UUAAUUGAAGCCAAAAAUUUAGAGGCCCCCACUGUUAAUGGGAUCAAUGAUAUUUAUAUCCAAUUAAA
rnacentral:tRNA from 1 species